GUCUUGUGCUUGAUGUGGCAGUACCUACCAAGAGGGCAGAGGUUCUUGGCUCCAGCUGAAUAGACAUCACUGGCCACAAAAGGAGCAUCGGACCCAGGUUUCCCAGCCCAAGGCUGCUGGUGCCUCUGGCAGAGGAGGGGUUGGGUAUGAGGGGGAGCUGGGCAAGGCCAAGACCUUCUAAAAUGAAGGCCUGGUUUGGAGCAUUGUACUGAGGCCAUAUAGGAAGAGACCAGAUGAUACAGAUGCUGAGUCCCUGCAUGUGGCUCUGCUCAUUGCAGGCCUUAGGUCUGCAGCUGUGAAGCAAGAAGGUAGAUAGGAACCGCGGAGACACUGCCACUGUGGUCUCAGGAAGGGAGGCCUGAGGCGUUAUAGGAGAUCCGUUUCCAUUAAGUUCAUUAGCAGGUAUUUAUGUACCUAGCCUGGAGUGGGUUCUGUGGGUGUGCAGCCCCCAUGUGAAACGAAUGGCUGAGAACCAUGGAGUACCCAGGAAGGCCCAGGGGGCUGCAGCAACUCACUCUGGGGGUUUGCAGUGAAGGCUGAAGCCACCAGAGAAAAGGACACAAAAGCUUCUCUUCCAUGCAGGAUGAAGUAUAGAAAGAUGAGGUUUGCAUCCUCUGAAGGAAAAAAGGGUCAUCAUACCUUCUCACUUCUCCCGGAGAGGCUGUAGCCCCGGUCUGGGUGUGGGGGUGGAGUGGGGGUGUCUUUGUGGGCUGUAGGUGUGAGCAUGCCCCCCGUUCAAGGCUGCUCCCAUCUGGGAGUGUCAUGUUCAGAGGGUGGCCCUAUACCUAUCACUGCCUAUGUGGACACAGAGAGGAGCCUCUGGUGCUGAUGAAGGCAUUAGCCUCCUGUGACUUGAGAACUUGGCAUCUCCUAUCACAAUGGCUCUCAGGCCAGGGAGACUCUGGGUUGGAAAGAGAGCCCAGCCCUGAUCAACUGGUUAAUUGUCAUGACUGGGUAUACAUUUUGCCAAGGGCUAGGACUCCCAUUUUCUUAUGGCCCUGAGUUAGGGCCACAGUGCACAGACCCAUAGCUCUCUAAGAGGACAGAGGCCCAAACCUCUAAGGCUUUAAACAACUCUGCACAGCAUCUUACUCUUACUCCAAGCUUCCAGGUCACUGUGGUACCCUGGCAAACAGCUGAACCAGGCUGCAGAGGGCAGAAUAGCUCAGACACGUAGCAUGACGUCUCUUUCUAGAAAUAAAGGUGUUCUGGCCUCCUUAGCUCUGUGCAAGUUUCCUUCCCCAGACACCAUCGCUCCCUAUUGGCCGGGAGAAGCCGGUCCCUGGGCAUGAGAGGCAUGGACUGGCAGGUGAUGUCACCUUUCCCCCAAGGCCUUGAGAUGGCAGCUUGAGAGGCUGACUCGAUGGUUCUCAGAGAGCCAUGAGCCCCAGGCUCAACUUUACCUUUGACUUAUUCAGUACCUUGCCAGCCAAGGGCCCGGUCUACGGCUCCCAUCACCUGCUCACACUCAGACUUGUAAGGUCAGGUAAGAGGGUGACUCUGAGACCAGUCCUUUGAGAAACCAUCUCCAUGUUCUGUUCCCCUUUGGUAAAGAUCUUCAGUUUGCUUUGUGGUCAUCACUGGCUAUUUCCAUUAGACGUGCACAGCAGAGACCCAGCAGGGCAAGCCCUCAAGGAGCUGGUUACGUGAGCAGCACUGCUCAGGGCCCUGUGGCGAUGCUAAGGAAUGGGAAAGGACAUCUUUGUUUUCUCUUUGCCUGCUGUUAGCCUAACCGUGAAAGUAUCUCUUUAUACAGAAUACUUACAGAUUCUAAUAUAUAUUUGUAUUUCAUUUUGUUAUAGUAUUUUUAUAUGUUAAAGUCAACCUCCAGUGUCUUGUUUUGAUUUUCAGAUGCUCUGUGGUUGUGACCUUUUGUUUGGGGUUUCUGUAGUCGUUUGAGUCAACUCUUAGAAACUGGCUUCAAACAGUCCCUGAGGGAGCUGCACCUGUCCUUUCCCCAGAAGUAUUGUUUUAGGAUAUGUCAGUAUUGUCUGCUGUCUUCCAUGUGAACAUGACAUUGAUUCAUG
rnacentral:lncRNA from 1 species